rnacentral:rRNA from 1 species
ACGAACGCUGGCGGCGUGCCUAACACAUGCAAGUCGUGCGAGAAAGCUCCUUCGGGAGUGAGUAAAGCGGCGGACGGGUGAGUAACACGUGAGCGAUCUACCCGGUGGUGGGGGACAACCCAGGGAAACCUGGGCUAAUACCGCAUAUGGCGUGGGCUUGGAAGCCCGGCGUCAAAGCUGGCCUCUUCUUGAAAGCUAGCGCCAUCGGAUGAGCUCGCGGCCUAUCAGCUAGUUGGUGAGGUAACGGCUCACCAAGGCGAUGACGGGUAGCUGGCGUGAGAGCGCGACCAGCCACACUGGGACUGAGACGCGGCCCAGACUCCUACGGGAGGCAGCAGUGGGGAAUAUUGCGCAAUGGGCGAAAGCCUGACGCAGCGACGCCGCGUGGGGGAGGAAGGCCUCAGGGUUGUAAACCCCUGUCAGGUGGGACGAACCCCGAGUCGGAUAAUACCCGGCUCGACUGACGGUACCACCAGAGGAAGCUCCGGCUAACUCCGUG